rnacentral:misc_RNA from 1 species
GAUGAAGAACGUAGCGAAAUGCGAUACGUAAUGUGAAUUGCAAAUUCAGUGAAUCAUCGAGUCUUUGAACGCACAUUGCGCCCCCUGGUAUUCCGGGGGGCAUGCCUGUCCGAGCGUCAUUGCUGCCCUCAAGCACGGCUUGUGUGUUGGGCCCCGUCCUCCGAUCCCGGGGGACGGGCCCGAAAGGCAGCGGCGGCACCGCGUCCGGUCCUCGAGCGUAUGGGGCUUUGUCACCCGCUCUGUAGGCCCGGCCGGCGCUUGCCGAUCAACCCAAAUUUUUAUCCAGGUUGACCUCGGAUCAGGUAGGGAUACCCGCUGAACUUAAGCAUAUCAAUGAGCGGAGGA